GCAUCGAUGGUUUAGUGGUAGGAUUAUCGUCUUCUAUAUGGGGGACCCAGGUUUGACUCCUGGCCAUUGCA
rnacentral:tRNA from 1 species